UACGUAGGGUGCAAGCGUUGUCCGGAAUUAUUGGGCGUAAAGAGCUCGUAGGCGGUCUGUCGCGUCUGCUGUGAAAACUCGGGGCUUAACCCCGGGCCUGCAGUGGGUACGGGCAGACUAGAGUGCGGUAGGGGAGACUGGAAUUCCUGGUGUAGCGGUGAAAUGCGCAGAUAUCAGGAAGAACACCCGUGGCGAAGGCGGCUCUCUGGGACGGUACUGACGCUGAGACGCGAAAGCGUGGGGAGCAAACAGG
rnacentral:rRNA from 1 species